GACGAACGCUGGCGGCGUGCUUAACACAUGCAAGUCGAACGGAAAGGCCCUGCUUUUGUGGGGUGCUCGAGUGGCGAACGGGUGAGUAACACGUGAGUAACCUGCCCUUGUCUUUGGGAUAACUUCAGGGAACUGGGGCUAAUACCGGAGAGGAGCUCCUGCUGCAUGGUGGGGGAUGGAAAGUUUCGGCGGUGGGGGAUGGACUCGCGGCUUAUCAGCUUGUUGGUGGGGUAGUGGCUUACCAAGGCUUUGACGGAUAGCCGGCCUGAGAGGGUGACCGGCCACAUUGGGACUGGGGUACGGCCCAGACUCCAACGGGAGGCAGCAGUCGGGAAUAUUGCACAAUGGGCGGAAGCCUGAUGCAGCAACGCCGCGUGCGGGAUGACGGCCUUCGCGUUGUAAACCGCUUUCGCCUGAGACGAAGCGUGAGUGACGGUAAUGGAUAAAGAAGCACCGGCUAACUACGUG
rnacentral:rRNA from 1 species